GUCCAGUCCUUUCACAGACACUGACACAGGCAGCAAUAUGAUGAUGUCAAACAUUUUACUGCUGGUGAUGCUGGGACUCCUUCUACAAGGAUCAAUGGCAGAUAUAGUUCUGACUCAGGAUCCAGCAGCUCAGUCUGUUCAGCUGGGAGUCACUGUCUCUAUCAGCUGUACAGCCAGUCAGAGCGUUUACCUCAACAACCUUCUCAGCUGGUACCUGCAGAAACCUGGUCAGGCUCCUAAACUUCUGAUUUAUCUUGCCACAACUCGCCAGUCUGGGAUUCCUGAUCGUUUCAGUGGGAGUGGAUCUGGGACUCAGUUCACACUGAAAAUCACUGGAGUCCAGGCUGAAGAUGCAGGAGAUUAUUACUGUCAGAGUGUUCAUUAUAUCAGUAGUAGCUAUGUGUUCACACAGUGAUACAGAGCCGUACAAAAACCUCCCUCAGUCAGACUGCACAGAGACUGCACUGCUGCAGCUGGGACCUACUGCAGGUGCUGAGGGGGGAGGCACUGACCUGGAACAAUGAGGGACUCUCCUCAAAUUCUGAGCUGGUUUGUGCAAUUAUAACUCUCAUAUUCUCAUUUUUAAUAGUUUCUCUAAAUGUUAAUGUGAGCACAUACAAAACUUUCAUUGUAAGAUCUAUUUUAAUUUUAAAAGCAUAAACACUUCAUUGAUGGUAUACUCUUGAGAUACUGGAAGUGGUCAGAAUCAAUUUGUUUAAUUUUUUCUGAAACAGAAAUAGGAAGGAGGACCCUACCUGCACUUUGUAAACACAAGGAAAAUAUGCACAGAUUUAACAAUAGACAGAAAUGGUGAAAUGCAAUUCAAUUACAUUUACUGGACCAGAGGUGGGGCUCAAUACACACAAGUGAAAUAUCUUGAAUGUAAUGUUUUUUUUUUUGACAUAUUUGAGGUUUGUCCAAGGGUAUAUUAUAAUUAAGGAUCUAAACAGAUUUUUUGGACAUUGGUCAAUGUUCCCUUAAUUUCGAUGAUGAGACCCAGGAACAUUCUAGGAUAAUUCAUGUCCUGUAGUUGAACAGCAUCUUUGGAAAUUAAUACCGAAUUCCAAUGAGCUACCGGCUACAGAGCAUUCAGUGAUGAGAGUGGCUCUCACACCCCCAGCAGUGUUCCUCCUGCUCUUUCCCAAACUCCAAAUUCAGCUCCAUCUUCAGCACUGACUUCACUUUCACCCUUGGUUGUGAAAAAACUGAUACAUCAUAGGAAAUCUCGAACAUUCAUUUGCAUGGAUGUAGGUGUGAUCAAAAGCAUUGUUUUUAAGUAUCGCAAUGAUUUGCAAUAGGAGGAAUUUUCAUGCUUACUGAAGACUAAUUUAAGUUUAAUUUUGGCCAAAUAUGAAUAAGUAAUUUUGGACUAACCCUGUGCUCUCUUCUAACUUUUCAAAUAAUCAGCAUUCUAUGGCUGUAGGUGACACCACUUUGGGUUGAGCUUCUGUGCAUGGCACAAGCUGCCAUUACAAUGUGUGACCACAGGGUAGAGACAGAGAGUGCUGUUUUGCUCCUGAUAUAAAAGCACUGCAGUAUAAUGAGGGAAACUACAAGGCCCUGUUUCAUAAAGCAGGAUUACUGAGUUUGCGGGGUAAGUGCACUGAGUAAAACCCGGAACCUUCCAAAACAUGGCACAUGGACUGAAAUAAAAAGAGCUGUUCCGGGGUUUACUCAGGACGGCUAUUCAGUAAUCCUGCUUUCUGAAAACCCCCGCAGGCUGGUAUAACGUAGACCUAACCGGUGCAGUUUGAAGCAGCCCCACAAUGGAGUAGUCUGUCUAUAUAUGCUGAACAGGAUGUACAGUGCCCCCCCUACAUGUAACAGAGUGAUCUGCAAUGGGGGAAAAAAAGUGGUUGCUGAAAGAAUGUGCAUUAUGGGAGAUGUAGUUUUUCUGUGUUAUCACAAAGUGAUGGAGGACGUUGAUAAAAUGAGCAUGGAAGAUGGAAGGCAUGACUCAAUAAAUAUGAUUUCAGAUUUUUUUAAAAGAAAGAAAAAUAAAUCAUUGAUGGAACAAUAAUGCACGUUCCACUGCUGCACUGGAGAACAUAGCAGUAGAGAGUGAAGUAGAGAUUUCCCUUCUACAGUUAGCAUAGUAUUCCCGCUGAUAACACAAAGAAUCUCUUUAUAA